rnacentral:rRNA from 1 species
CAAUAGCGUAUAUUAAAGUUGUUGCAGUUAAAAAGCUCGUAGUUGGAUUUCUGGUGGGAGCGAUCGGUCUGGCGCUUAGCGCGAGUACUUGCAUCGUCUCCGGCCAUCCUUGGGGAGAGUCUGUCUGGCAUUAAGUUGUCGGGCAGAGGAUCCUCAUCGUUUACUGUGAAAAAAUUAGAGUGUUCAAAGCAGGCUUAUGCCGUUGAAUAUAUUAGCAUGGAAUAAUAAGAUAGGACUUUGGUACUAUUUUGUUGGUUUGCGCACCAAAGUAAUGAUUAAUAGGGACAGUUGGGGGUAUUCGUAUUCCGUUGUCAGAGGUGAAAUUCUUGGAUUUGCGGAAGACGAACUACUGCGAAAGCAUUUACCAAGGAUGUUUUCAUUAA